rnacentral:misc_RNA from 1 species
GUGAAUCAUCGAAUUUUUGAACGCAAAUUGCACUCUCCGGUUUUCCGGGAGAGUAUGCCUGUUUGAGGGUCAGCCUAAAAAAAAAUCGACAUUGUUGCUGUUAUUUAAUGGUGACUUUCGUCGGAGAUUGGGUUAUCUUAAACCUUUUUUUUUUUUUUGGUUUAUGCGAUUUAAAAUUUUUUUUCGCGAUUCCAUGAACUUUUCUAAGUUUUUUAUUUCUUAUAUUUUUAUGGUUUAUCGAUUUUUUAUUAGAGGUGACCGUC